GCGAACGGGGUGGAAUUGCGUACGACCUCAUGGGAGUAGUAGUCCACAGCCAGAGAUCUCGCCCCAGCUGGAGAACAAAUAAACUACACUUCCCAGAAGGUCGUGGAACGUGUCACAAUGACUGCCGACACACGGAAGCCCGAAGCAUGUUGGGAAAUGGAGUCCAUGGACUUUAGGCGGGUGGCGUGGUAAGAAGAGAAAUGCCGGGGUGGGACGUGAGGUUUGGAGUUAAGGUUCGAAGCCCAAGCGUCUUUCCAAGUUUAGUUAAUAUACGCGACGCAGUUUCUAUCUGGUCUAAGUUAAAUAGGGAUCUUCAGCAGAGGCAUACUAUGAAACAUAUUUCUUUCAUCCUGGGACAAGUUUUCGAGAUGUCUAGCGUAACCGGUGCACCUGAAAUAGGAAUUUCUUUUAUUUUCCUACUCAGACUUCCUUUCGGUUAAAGAGCUGACUCCUGGGCUUGCUUUCUCACUUAUGUUAUAUUCAAAGGGCUUUCACGUGGCCUGUCUCAUUGCAUCUUCAUGGCAGCUGCGUGUGGUAAGCUGAGCAAGGACCAUUACUCCCGUCUACAGGGAGGGAAAUUUUGGCUCAGAGGUGAAAUGAUUUGCCGAUAAGUCAAUAAAUAAAGCUCAGGUCUUCUAACUCCAAACCCAACACCUACACCUCUAUCUAGCCCCCUCUUUUCCAGACGGAACCCACAGGCAGAUGAAAAAGCUCUUCUUUAUGUCAGUCCUCUCUCACUCCUGCACUUCCUUUAGGUCUCUGUUCAACCUUCGCAUUAUCAGAACCGUCCUUGACGAUUUUAUUUAAAAUAGCAGUCUCCCUUCCUGCAUCCUUCGUACCCUGCUAAUUUUUCUUCACAGCACUUACCACAUGACAUACUAAAUAUUUGUUUUAUUUAUAGUCUUUCUCCCGUAGAACGCGAGCCUGAUGAGACAAGGAAAAGUCCUUUUUCACUUUUCUAUCACCAGCACCCAGAAAAAUGGAAGCAAAACAGUUACUCAAUAAAUACUCAUUCAAUGAAAGGAUUACUUCCACCUUAUUAGUAGGGGGAAAUGAAUAUAAGCUUUGGCGUGCAGGCAAACCUGGAAUUCAAUUUUGACUCAUGCGUGUGAUUGCUAAUUUCCUCAUUAUUGUCAAACACAAUAAUACCUACCUUCAAGAAGACUGCUGGUAUUAGAUGAGAUAAUAUGUAGACAACCACCAUCUCUGGCUCACAGUAGGUCUUCAAGAAAUGGCAGCUCUCACUGUAUUCCCUGCUCUCCCAUUGAAUUCCCUAUAUCAAACUUGAGGGCAGAGAUACAGUUUUGUCAUUUCUGCAUCCCUUAGCAAGGCACUCAGCAAACAGCUGUCGAAUGAACAAAUGAAUAUUUUUAAAGUACUCAAUGCCAAAGCAUUUUGACAUCCAUAUUUUAAGAGAUUCACAGGACAUUCUUGGGUUAUAACAGCUUCGCCCUGCCUGUAUUCUUAGAAUACUUCUGCUUCCCAACAUUGCACGCUUUCCUACAUUAACAAACAGAAUAUAGUGAAUGUAAUUUGUUUUCCUGAUGAUCAAGGUGAUUGCUAUCACAAUAGAUUUUUUUGUACCAUGUUGUAAAAGUAUGCAUUUAUACUAACCCAGGCCACACUCAGAAGGUAUUUUCUAAAUAAAUAUCAUACCACCUCCGUUUCUUGUCAUCUGUGUCUUUCCCAUAGAAUCAAAGUGUGGCAUCUGGGCAGAGUAACAUGGAUAUUUUUUACACUAAGGAUAAGAAUUUCAUUUAUGGAUCAGCAGAGGAAGAAACUGACCUACAAUACAUAUACAGAUCUGCCCAAGUCUUGGCCAACCUGGAGUUACUCUGGAAUGUUGCCUACCAGUGUCCUGGGGCAGGCUGCAAUGGUUGGGUCUUUAUCUCCACCUUCCUCCCCCGAAAUCACUCAGUCACUGCUCAGGGCUACUGAGGCAGACCCUGAAAGAGCUGACAGUUGCGGUCUGUCUGCUGACUCCAAUCUCUGCAUCUGGGCCACAAGUCCUUCCUUGAAGGGGGACCUGAGCAGUAAUCUCCAUGGCUACCAAAGUUUGCAGCCUUAUUCAUUCACUUAUUGAUUAUUUGAUGUACUGUGUGCUAGCUGCUGUGUUGACAGUUGGGGGACAGGAGAGCAUAAGGGAUGAAGCCGAAGUGGAUCUUCUUCUCGGCGUUAGUCUAGCAGGACAAUUGGCUAAUUAUGGAGCAGGGUGGUGAAUCCAGAGGGCAGUGAGAGUGCCUACACAGAGUCACUGUUAUAGCUGGGGGCGACCUCUGCUAUGGGUCCUUCUCAGUCAAGCUUUGCAAAAGAGAAGUCCCCAUCCUAUCCCUCCAUUCCUAUUUUCUCAUGACCCCAGUGCAACCUGAGUCCUCCCUUCUCUCCUUCUGAAACGGCUCUUCAUGAGAAUACUUCCCCAUCCAUCUUCAUCCCCAGUGACCAUCCAGGUGUAGUCCUGAUGCCUGAAUGUUCUAGCUGUUGUACUAGAUUCUAUUAUCUCUUUGAGUCAGAAGGCACUAAGAGAAGAUGGAGAGAAACACUGGUUUUUCUCUCUUGAGCUAGACAUAAAUAGCUCAGAGGUCAAAGUGGGCAGAUCUAGAGGGAAUUUGUAAGCAGGGAAGGGGGAAGCUAGGUAAGAGGGGACUUUGAGCCCUGGAGAAGAAACAUUUUGGAAAUGAUUUUGAAAUAUUAUUCUGUAUUGAUCACCUUUUUGUUAUUUUCUGGCCUCUAGCAAAAUUGUGUCUAAUAUUCAGAUGAGUUUACAUUCAGAUAAGCAAACACAGUUCCUGCUUUUCAGCAGCUCUUAGUUUAAUGGGGAAGACAGACAAGUGAAGCGACAAGUUUGUACUUUUUUAAUGAUAAAGUGGGAAUGGAAGCAAGCCCAGGAUGCUGUGGGAGUCCAGGGCAGAAAACAACAGGGAAGACAUAGGGGAAAGUUUCUCAGAGGAGGAAACAUUCAAGGAGGCUUUGGAGAAUGAAUAGAGGCGUUUGUGGGGUCAGUAGUUUUUCAAAGAGUGGUCUGUGGACUGUUGGGAGUCCCCAAACCUUAGGAGAGAAUUUCCAAGGUCAGACUAGUAUUACAUUGAUAGUAUAAAAGCAAAGGUGGGGAAAGAUGCUGAUGCCUCAGUAUGAGUCAGAGCAGUGGUACCAGACUGUACUAGAAGUCAUUGUGUUCUUGCACCAAAAAUGUUUAAAGUUUUAUUGAACCCUUAAUGAAGUUGUAAAAAGUAUUCGUUUCAUUAAAUCUCAACCCUUUUAAGAGUAUAAAUGGGUCCUGAGACCAAAAUAUUUAGAACUACUAGGUAGAGAUUGACACUUCCAAGAGGUAAGAAGGCAUAUAAAAGCACCAAGUUGUGAUACUAUUUAUUAUUAUUUAUAUUGCUUUUCUUCUACAGGUGUCUAUUCUGGCCUGAUCAAGAAUUCAGUAUACAUGGGGCAGAAGAGAGAGAAUGAUGUGGUGGCUCCAUGUGGCUUCUCUGGGGAUGUCCUGUGAGCAACCCCAUUGAGCACCCUUGUGAGGAUGGUGCCAGCUCAGCAAAGCACCACCUUGUAAGUGUUCUCGCGACUUCCCUGCUGAUAACCCCUGUCAACCUUCACUCAUGCUUCCUUCCCAAUAAAGCAUCAGCACGUAUGCUUUGCCUCAGGUUGGUUCUGUGUUCUAGGAGAUCUGGGCUAGGAAAGGGGUGUGAUCAGAGAACGGUGUAUCUGAAAUUUAAAUUGUGGUGGGAUUCCGGUUAUUGUAAUGAAAGGUGUAGAACAUAACCACAGAAAGGAAUGGCUUAGACAGAAUGGACAGUAAGUUCAUGGAGAAGAGAAUCCAGGGCACUGGAUAAUCAUCAUAAUCGUAAUCAUCAGUGUGGAUAUGGAAAUCCCCAAGAAUGAUGUAGGAGUGUUGGAGAGAAUGAUUCAGGAGAUAAAAUCUUCAAGUGCUGGGGAGACAGGCAGAAAUGCCCACAUACAGAGGGGCUGUGGAAAGUAUUGUCUUUUCAUAUUGUAGAAGAGAGGGCCUUGGGAUUAGCAAUGAGGAACAGGAGAACAUGUAAAUCACCACUGGGCCCAGGGAUACAAGGGCUGUAGGACAGCAAGUAACUACCUCUUGAGAGGAAUUCAAAGAUAACAGUAUCCUCAGACAGGAGUUAUACUGCAGGUGAGAAAAAUGAAGGGAACAUUUGUGAAAGGGGGUGAGGAUACAGAAUACUCUCCUGAUGAAUGACUUGAGCUCCAGGGGCACAGUGGAAAAGUUUCAGGGUAUGGGGAGUUAUGGCAGAUGGGGUUAGAAAAGGUGAUGGACAGCUGAAUGGGAUGAGAGCCAGGGGAUGAGGAAGACCAGAAGCCACGUGGCAGGGCUAACGGCCGUGAGUUAUCCUGAUGAGCCCCAGGCAUCCAGUGAUGGAGCAGCUCAAGUGUUCAGGGGGAGAAGCAUGAGUUUGUCCCGGGUAUACAUGCCUGGGGUUCCCCCUGAGUCCUGGGAGGGAGGCGAGAGCCCUGCAGGCACUGGGGAGGGGUCCUGCUCUGAAAGCACAAGCUCCUGCCUUGUGACCCCUGGGGACAGGGAGCCCUCUAGCAGAGCAGAAGCGACCUCGUAUCUUCUUCUUUCCAAGACACCAUUAAACUUAGACAAACCCUCAUACCCUUUUUUCUUUUCAUUCCUUCACCUACUUUACAUAACUCCUUGAUUCCUUAUCAUCUUAUCAAAAGGAGUCUAUUUUUAAUUUCUUGACAUUUCUUUCAUAACCUACUCUUCCCUUUUCCUGUUACUCUGACUCCUUCUUUUACCUUAACUGACUUUGUACUUCUUCGAGCUUGUUCUGCCUGACACGCUAGCCCCGACUGUUUCUUACUUUUUCAAGCAAUAUGCAAACUUCCUUCCUGCUUUUGACCAACUCUUUGGAAAGAUUUGGUGAUCUGUACACAAUAACAUGAAUUUACUGACUUUGUGCAUUUUAUAACUAUUCAUUAACCUCAAUUCCUUUCCUUCUAAUAGAGGAGAUUUCUUCUCUGCUCAGUGGUGCCCACCUAAUAUUUCCCCACCUUUUGUUUAUAUCUUUCCAUCUUCUAUGGCACAUCUACAAAAUUACCCUCCCUUUCUACAAAUAUCCCCCACCUUCUCCAAGCAUCCUCCUACCAUUUAUAAAUAUUGCCCAUGUUUGACCUGUGUCUUUCUAGGAUUUUUUUCUCCCCAAGCCUACUCCUACAGUUUAUAUUCUGGGGUAUGACCAAAAUAUCAGUGCAUGACUCACAUACUUUGGGCUGAUCAAUAUAAAGCUUUAAACCAAUAAUAUUGCAAACUACUGUGCACAUUACCACCACCUUUCAGUUCCCUUUGUGAAAGCUUCCCCCUAAGUAUUUAGGAUUAUUGUGACUCACAGUUCUUUUAACAGACUCAACUAGUUCUGAUUCACUGGGGUCAGAGUUUCCCUCUCUGGGGUUCAUGUAGGUUGCCCUUUGGUCAUUCACUGCUCUGUUUAUAGGCUGGCCUUUCUGACCUUGUCAGUUCUGCACAAGUAUCUCUGAAUGCCCACAUAUUCUUGAAUGAAAGUCAGGAUGCUCCAGGAUCAGUAAGAGAUGCAAUCAUUUUGUUUCUUUCCCAGAAUCUUAGUUGUUCUUCCAGGAGAAGGUUAUUAGAGUAAAAAACUGGGGGGCUUGUUUAUUGGAGGGUUUUAUUCCAGGCUGAUAUAGCAACCAGCUGGCCAGAGUACAGACCUAAGAGAUUUGGGUUUUAAAUAGUUGCUUGAGAGACAGAUGCCUGUCUGCUUGGGUUUCUUUCUGUGUGUGUUUUGAGGGGGUGGGGGUGUUGGAGGGAAGAGGGUAAGAGAAGGGGUACAAUGUUCUAUCUACAGAACGUCAAUGUAUUUCCCACUCCUUAUGGCCAAGUCUUCCUUCUUCCUGUGGCUGCUCCUGGCAUUUCUCAGUCUUAAGGUUCUCUUGGGUUUUGACUCUAUGAAACUGUCUCCACCCCUCUUGCACAUUCCAGGCUGCAGCUUCCUGUACCCUGCUUCGUCGGUAACUACAUCUCCACUUCCCUUCAUCUCCACUUCCCUUUUCUUAGAAAUGUGUUGAAAUUGAUCUUACACUGAUAUCCCUCCUCUUGUUCUUUCUUUGCUGUGUGUUUAUAUCUUGUUUUUCCCAACAUAUAAUAGAAAUCAUGUACUUAGGUGAGAAAAGAUAGAAAAUUGUGUUUUCUAUCUUGAAUCAAAAGUCAAUGGAUGACUCUAUCUUGUAUGAGAACUGGAAGAAAAAAUAUAAAAAGAUUCCAACCAAUAGAUACCACCUGCCUUCUUAGAAGAGAACCCUGUAUGUGCAUCCCUUUGGGGAUAGAUGUGACUCACCAUGGACAUGUUGGUAAGGGUUACUCUGGGCCAUGGCUCAGCUCUGUAGGCAUCCAUUUUUCCUGUCUGGGGAAACCAUAGAAAAUGGUUGAGAUGAAAGGAUUUUCCUAGUGGAGUGAAUGCAGCAUAAAUCACACUGGCCUGAGAAUGUGACCAGAGCCCAGAUAUUUUACAGGAUCCUCUGUCUUCCACUCUAUGCCGCUCUCUGUCCCACCCCACCAAUUUCUAAACAUUCCAGUUGAUUCUACCUCUCACUGCACUCUCUUUCCCAAAGCCUUCCCAUCAUUAGAGGCAAAUUUACCAUUCACAGGCUUAUUUCUCUGAAGAUUUAGCUGUGAUCUGAUACUCAUUUGUCUCGAUUUAAUUUUGCUUAGAGACACAGUGUAAUAAAUGAGAAUAUACUUCUGACUGUAUCAUGGUGACCACUAUGAAACAACUUUUCAUUCUUGAAACAUUCUGAGCCAAAACAUACUCAUUAUUUAGAUUCUGGACAAUUGCCUCUACAUUAAGGAAGAGGAAAACUAUCUAAAGAGAAGAUUUCCAUACAUAGGAUGAAACUGACUUCACCUUUUAUAAUGCAAACCCUUAAGUUAAGAGGACCACAAACAAAACUUUAUGAAAUAUUCUUACCUUAAGUAAAGUGGAUGUUUGCCCCAGAGAGCUCCUGGUACUUACCAUGGUUACCUGUCACUUUAAGGGUAUUUGCUUGAUAGAGGUUUGCUGGAUCAGUGAGUAUUGGCUAGAACUCUUUAAGUGCCUUUUGCUCAGGUCAGGAUGCAUUCUAGAGACUAGAACACACUCACUAUGCAGGUAGCAUUAAGUACUGUAAGCUAUAGGGAGAUGGGGGUCUAACAGGCUGAAAAAUAGGGUAAACCUGUUGUUGAAUGUUUGGAAAAAGAAGAGUUUACCUACUUUUCAGAGCUAUCUGAAGCUGACUCUUCUGGUUCUGAAUUCAUUUAAAAGGUCACUGUACAGGAUGUUUACAGAACAUUAUUUUUAACAGUAGAAAACUAGAAACAGCAUGAAUGUCUAACACUAGAAAAACAAUUACUGGAUAGAAUAAUGUACUCUUUUUAAAAAUAGACUUUUAGACCUUACUUUUUAGAAGUUUUAUAUUUACAGAAGAACUGAGAAGACAGUAGAGAGAGUUCCCACAUAACCCACACCCAGUUUCCCAUAUUAUUGAUAUCCUCUAUCAGUAUGGUAUAUUUGUCACAAUUAAUGAGUCAAUACUGAUACCUUAUUAUUAACUAAAAGCAAUACGUUAUUCAGAUUUCCUUAAGUUUUUGCUUGAUGUCCUUUUUCUGUUUCAAAUCCCCAUCCAGAACACCACAAUACAUUAAGUCGCCAUGUUUCCUCAGGCUCCUUGUAGCUGUCACAGUAGUUAUAAUCUAGUUUUUAAAAUGAUGAAUAUGUAAAAGCCAUGUGAGUGUAUUUAUAUAUGGGAACAAAGACUAAAAAGAAACACAAGGAAAUAAAAAUACCAGUUGGGGUGCUAAAGGUUACGGUUGAAAUUUACAUAUUUACAUUCUUUUCUUUUUUAAAAUUUCUUUAAAUAUGUGGAUUCAAUUAUAAAGUCUUGAAGUCUUCUCCUUUACCUCUCCCCAUCACAUUUUAUAUAGUUUUGACUCACAGAUAAACAGCCUCUAGACAUCAACUCCAAAAUAGCUGAUGGGGACUCACAGGCAGGCCUCUGGAGGGAGGCGAGGUUACAUGCUCUGGACUGUGAGUCGAAUGACAUUUCUUUUGAACUUUUAUCUCUUCCUCUCACCCACCCCUUUGAGACUGAGAUAAAGUAGAUAUUUGGUGCUUCAAGUUUAGAUAGGGAAGCUUCCUCUCAAUUUCUGACCCUAGAAAUCUAAUUAUUUAAUAGGCUGAAAGGAGAGAUUCCUUAACCUAGUUGGGGAAUA